rfam:Brucella melitensis biovar Abortus 2308 chromosome I, complete sequence, strain 2308
AUGUAGGAAAGAAAUCAAUAAAUAGGAAAAUAGUCCUUGACUGCGUUACGGUGCUUUGGUAGAUAUUGGCUACGGUCGAGAAAUUGCGACUGAUGCCAUCUUAGCUACAUACCCCCGGCUGACAUGGUAAGGAUAGCCCCGGAAAGCCAUCGGUUUUUCGGGGUUUCUUUUAGAGA